AUUGCCUUAGUAACGGCGAGUGAAGCGGCAAAAGCUCAAAUUUGAAAUCUGGCGUCUUCGACGUCCGAGUUGUAAUUUGAAGAAGGCAACUUUGUAGCUGGUCCUUGUCUAUGUUCCUUGGAACAGGACGUCAUAGAGGGUGAGAAUCCCGUGUGGCGAGGAUCCCAGUUAUUUGUAAAGUGCUUUCGACGAGUCGAGUUGUUUGGGAAUGCAGCUCUAAGUGGGUGGUAAAUUCCAUCUAAAGCUAAAUAUUGGCGAGAGACCGAUAGCGAACAAGUACAGUGAUGGAAAGAUGAAAAGAACUUUGAAAAGAGAGUGAAAAAGUACGUGAAAUUGUUGAAAGGGAAGGGCAUUUGAUCAGACAUGGCGUUUGCUUCGGCUUUCGCUGGGCCAGCAUCAGUUUUAGCGGUUGGAUAAAUCCUCGGGAAUGUGGCUCUGCUUCGGUAGAGUGUUAUAGCCCGUGGGAAUACAGCCAGCUGGGACUGAGGAUUGCGACUUUUGUCAAGGAUGCUGGCGUAAUGGUUAAAUGCCGCCCGUCUUGAAACACGGACCAAGGAGUCUAACGUCUAUGCGAGUGUUUGGGUGUAAAACCCGUACGCGUAAUGAAAGUGAACGUAGGUGAGGGCCCGCAAGGGUGCAUCAUCGACCGAUCCUGAUGUCUUCGGAUGGAUUUGAGUAAGAGCAUAGCUGUUGGGACCCGAAAGAUGGUGAACUAUGCCUGAAUAGGGUGAAGCCAGAGGAAACUCUGGUGGAGGCUCGUAGCGGUUCUGACGUGCAAAUCGAUCGUCGAAUUUGGGUAUAGGGGCGAAAGACUAAUCGAACCAUCUAGUAGCUGGUUCCUGCCGA
rnacentral:rRNA from 1 species